GCCAACAUAGCUCAGUUGGUAGAGCACGUCCUUGGUAAGGACGAGGUCACCGGUUCAAUUCCGGUUGUUGGCU
rnacentral:tRNA from 1 species